UAAAAACAUGGCCUCUCUGGGCUUCUGUAUAUUUGAGUUAAAUGUAACUUUGGAGAACAGCUAAACCUAGGCCUUUCAUUGUGGUUAGUAGUAAGUGUCUUGCCGUCCAUUUGCUUAAACUAAAGCUAUCCUUCCAAUCUUAAUGUUCUUUCCUAUCUUAAAUCACUGGAAUUUUUCUUACAUUUUACAUACCAUUAGGAGACUAACAUGCCUCCAUGGCUCUUGC